GCACGGACUUCGGUCUGGUGGCGAGUGGCGAACGGGUGAGUAUAUAUCGGAACGUAUCCAAUAAUGGGGGAUAACUAAUCGAAAGGUUGGCUAAUACCGCAUACGUCCUACGGGAGAAAGCUAGGGACCUUCGGGCCUGGCGUUAAUGGAGCGGCCGAUAUCUGAUUAGCUAGUUGGUGAGGUAAGGGCUCACCAAGGCGACGAUCAGUAGCUGGUCUGAGAGGACGACCAGCCACACUGGAACUGAGACACGGUCCAGACUCCUACGGGAGGCAGCAGUGGGGAAUUUUGGACAAUGGGCGCAAGCCUGAUCCAGCCAUUCCGCGUGAGUGAAGAAGGCCUUCGGGUUGUAAAGCUCUUUCGCAAGGGAAGAAAACUUAGGCUCUAACAUAGCCUGAGGUUGACGGUACCUUGAUAAGAAGCACCGGCUAACUACGUGCCAGCAGCCGCGGUAAUACGUAGGGUGCGAGCGUUAAUCGGAAUUACUGGGCGUAAAGCGUGCGCAGGCUGUUUUGUAAGUCAGAUGUGAAAUCCCCGAGCUCAACUUGGGAACUGCGUUUGAAACUACAAGACUAGAAUAUGUCAGAGGGGGGUAGAAUUCCACGUGUAGCAGUGAAAUGCGUAGAGAUGUGGAGGAAUAUCAAUGGCGAAGGCAGCCCCCUGGGAUAAUAUUGACGCUCAUGCACGAAAGCGUGGGGAGCAAACAGGAUUAGAUACCCUGGUAGU
rnacentral:rRNA from 1 species